rnacentral:rRNA from 1 species
UACAGAGGUCUCAAGCGUUGUUCGGAUUCAUUGGGCGUAAAGGGUGCGUAGGCGGUGUCGCAAGUCAGGUGUGAAAUCUCGGGGCUUAACCCCGAAACUGCAUUUGAUACUGCGGUGCUCGAGUCCGGGAGAGGUGAGUGGAACUCCGAGUGUAGAGGUGAAAUUCGUAGAUAUUCGGAAGAACACCAGUGGCGAAGGCGGCUCACUGGCCCGGUACUGACGCUGAUAUACGAAAGCGUGGGGAGCAAACAGG